GUGUAUGGAUGGUGUUCAGCACCAAGGACAGGUGUGUUUGUUUGUGGAUGGUGUUCAACACCAAGGACAGGUGUGUUUGUGU
rnacentral:pre_miRNA from 1 species